rnacentral:rRNA from 1 species
UACGGAGGGUGCGAGCGUUGUCCGGAUUCAUUGGGCGUAAAGGGCGCGUAGGCGGCGGGGUCAGUCGGGUGUGAAAUCUUGGGGCUUAACCCCGAAACGGCACUCGAAACUGCCCGGCUGGAGGGCCGGAGAGGAGAUCGGAAUUCACGGUGUAGCAGUGAAAUGCGUAGAGAUCGUGAGGAAGACCCGUGGCGAAGGCGGAUCUCUGGACGGCUAACUGACGCUGAGGCGCGAAGGCCAGGGGAGCAAACGGG